rnacentral:rRNA from 1 species
AUUGAACGCUGGCGGCAGGCCUAACACAUGCAAGUCGAGCGAGCGGCGGACGGGUGAGUAAUGUAUGGGAACUGCCUGAUGGAGGGGGAUAACUACUGGAAACGGUAGCUAAUACCGCAUACUAUCGGAUAACCCAGAUGGGAUUAGCUAGUAGGUGGGGUAACGGCUCACCUAGGCGACGAUCCCUAGCUGGUCUGAGAGGAUGAUCAGCCACACUGGAACUGAGACACGGUCCAGACUCCUACGGAGGCAGCAGUGGGGAAUAUUGCACAAUGGGCGCAAGCCUGAUGCAGCCAUGCCGCGUGUGUGAAGAAGGCCCUAGGGUUGUAAAGCACUUUCAGUCGGGAGGCGUUACCGACAGAAGAAGCACCGGCUAACUCCGUGCCAGCAGCCGCGGUAAUAC